rnacentral:rRNA from 1 species
CCUACGGGAGGCAGCAGUGAGGAAUAUUGGUCAAUGGACGAGAGUCUGAACCAGCCAAGUAGCGUGAAGGAUGACUGCCCUAUGGGUUGUAAACUUCUUUUAUAUGGGAAUAAAAUGUUCCACGUGUGGGAUUUUGUAUGUACCAUAUGAAUAAGGAUCGGCUAACUCCGUGCCAGCAGCCGCGGUAAUACGGAGGAUCCGAGCGUUAUCCGGAUUUAUUGGGUUUAAAGGGAGCGUAGGUGGAUUGUUAAGUCAGUUGUGAAAGUUUGCGGCUCAACCGUAAAAGUGCAGUUGAAACUGGCAGUCUUGAGUACAGUAGAGGUGGGCGGAAUGCGUGGUGUAGCGGUGAAAUGCUUAGAUAUCACGAAGAACUCCGAUUGCGAAGGCAGUUCACUGGACUGCAACUGACACUGAGGCUCGAAAGUGUGGGUAUCAAACAGGAUUAGAUACCCGAGUAGUC